rnacentral:rRNA from 1 species
ACGGGAGGCAGCAGUGGGGAAUAUUGCACAAUGGGGGAAACCCUGAUGCAGCGAUGCCGCGUGGAGGAAGAAGGUUUUCGGAUUGUAAACUCCUGUCUUAAAGGACGAUAAUGACGGUACUUUAGGAGGAAGCUCCGGCUAACUACGUGCCAGCAGCCGCGGUAAUACGUAGGGAGCGAGCGUUGUCCGGAAUUACUGGGUGUAAAGGGAGCGUAGGCGGGAUUGCAAGUCAGGUGUGAAAUACAUGGGCUUAACCCAUGGGCUGCACUUGAAACUGUAGUUCUUGAGUGAAGUAGAGGCAAGCGGAAUUCCUGGUGUAGCGGUGAAAUGCGUAGAUAUCAGGAGGAACACCGGUGGCGAAGGCGGCUUGCUGGGCUUUUACUGACGCUGAGGCUCGAAAGCGUGGGGAGCAAACAGGAUUAGAUACCCUGGUA